GGGUUAUUAACUCAGUUGGUAGAGUAGCGGGCUUUUAACCUGUAAGUCGUUGGUUCGAAUCCAACAUAACCCA
rnacentral:tRNA from 1 species